CCCAAGACCGUACUUUUUUGUUGUCAAUGCCGCCGGAUGGUUUUUGCUCUUAUCAUAUGGAGCUGCAAGCUCUUCCCCGAGCCUUCUACCAACAACAGUUGAUUGAAAUGCCUCUGCGAAUUCUCUACCUGAAACGAACCGGUAUGGCUUUUCCCUCUGUGCCCAAUAUUGUUGCUGAUCCUUUAGUGAUGUUACCUGCAUGUAAUUACAUUUAUCAUCAGAUCAAGGAAAGAUAUAUAUAUACACUGUGUCAAGUAACAUUUUGCAUUGCUUACUUCUUGCAAGAAAUCAGCCACUCCUUUUCUCUCCGGGCAUUUGAACCCCAUGGAUUCAAAGAAUUCAACCACAUAUUCUCGAGGACCAUGAUAAACAACAUUCCCCUCAGACAAAAGCACAAUGUCAUCGAAGA
rnacentral:lncRNA from 1 species